AGAGCAGCGGGACAUGGGGGAGCUUGCAGCGUCAGCAAAUCAUGGACACUCACCCUGCUACCCAAAGAGAAAAGGGAUCCCUGGAGACUUGAGCAGAAGAAAAAUGCUGGUACAUUUUUACCCCAGGAGGCACAGCCACUCCAGAGCCACACAGCAAUGCAUACUUAAGAAUAAGACUCUCUGCAGGAGGACCAAGGAGUAAUAAAAAGAGCAGAAUAUCUGCAGCUGUGAAGUCCUUGGCUCUAAUUCUAGAUUUGCAGCCCAUAGCUGCACAAUAGGCACAAGAAUGAACCAACGUCACCACCAAGGAAAGCGGCACAGCUGAGCUGCACCCACGUCUGACUCCAAGGGACCAGCUAUUGACAGCUAUUCACCAUUUGGUUUCUGUGAGUCCCGGUCUGCACAUGGAAAAUGGGCAAAUAUUAUCUGCUUCAUCAGGUAUUCCUGGGAACCUAGAGGAAGCACUAGCCAAUAUCAUUCACUUAGCAUACCAGAGUUAUCUUUCCAUUUUCUUAAUUCAAGAACCUUGCUCUUUUUGCCAAUUAUCUUAGUAAUUUUUCAGUGACCUCUCAGCAAAAGCAAUAUAUUUUGUAGCUUUGUCUUUUGCAGAAAUCGCCUUAUAAAUUGUUUGAUGUACAAUUAAACAAAAAGUUUAUUUCUGCAUUGCUCAAAGAA
rnacentral:lncRNA from 1 species